rnacentral:rRNA from 1 species
CGGCGGCAUGCUUUCACAUGCAAGUCGGACGGCAGCACAGAGAAGCUUGCUUCUUGGGUGGCGAGUGGCGAACGGGUGAGUAACAUAUCGGAACGUACCGAGUAGUGGGGGAUAACUAAUCGAAAGAUUAGCUAAUACCGCAUACGUCUUGAGAGAGAAAGCAGGGGAUCUUCGGACCUUGCGCUAUUCGAGCGGCCGAUAUCUGAUUAGCUAGUUGGUGGGGUAAAGGCCUACCAAGGCGACGAUCAGUAGCGGGUCUGAGAGGAUGAUCCGCCACACUGGGACUGAGACACGGCCCAGACUCCUACGGGAGGCAGCAGUGGGGAAUUUUGGACAAUGGGCGCAAGCCUGAUCCAGCCAUGCCGCGUGUCUGAAGAAGGCCUUCGGGUUGUAAAGGACUUUUGUCUGGGAAGAAAAGGUUGGUGCUAAUAUCGCUGACUGAUGACGGUACCUGAAGAAUAAGCACCGGCUAACUACGUGCCAGCAGCCGCGGUAAU